UGGGGAAUAUUGCACAAUGGGGGAAACCCUGAUGCAGCAACGCCGCGUGGGUGAUGACGGCCUUCGGGUUGUAAAGCUCUGUCUUCAGGGACGAUAAUGACGGUACCUGAGGAGGAAGCCACGGCUAACUACGUGCCAGCAGCCGCGGUAAUACGUAGGUGGCAAGCGUUGUCCGGAUUUACUGGGCGUAAAGGGAGCGUAGGCGGACUUUUAAGUGAGAUGUGAGAUACCCGGGCUCAACCUGGGUGCUGCAUUUCAAACUGGAAGUCUAGAGUGCAGGAGAGGAGAGUGGAAUUCCUAGUGUAGCGGUGAAAUGCGUAGAGAUUAGGAAGAACACCAGUGGCGAAGGCGACUCUCUGGACUGUAACUGACGCUGAGGCUCGAAAGCGUGGGGAGCAAACA
rnacentral:rRNA from 1 species